rnacentral:rRNA from 1 species
CACCGCGGUUAUACGAUGAGCCCAAGCUGACAGAAACCGGCGUAAAGGGUGGUUAAGAGAUACAAUAAACUAAAGCCGAACACCUUCAUGGCUGUUAUACGCAUCCGAAGAAAUGAAGCACCACCACGAAAGUGACUUUAUAAACUCUGAAUCCACGAAAGCUGGGGAA